rnacentral:rRNA from 1 species
GAAAGUGAAAGGGGGGCGUCCCGGGGCUUCCUUCGCGGGAGCCCCGGUCGGCGCCCUCCGGGGCCGAUCCUCGACAGACCGUCGCCGCCGGUGUCUCUUCCCACACCAAAGCGGGGCCAAGACGGGAGCGGCGCGGGGUGAGACCCUUUCCCCCGUCGUCCGACUCCCGGCCCCGUGGGUACCCGGCGAGCGCGGCAGUCCGGUGGUCCCUCUCCUCUCGGGGGGAGGAGGCCUCCGCCUGUACGCAGGGGGGCGCAGGCCCGGGACUUGCCAUUAGACGCCGUCGCGCAAAUCUGUUGUUGGCCUCGCCGGCUCUGCUUGGGCUCUCGGUUGGCGGGCCGCGCGUCAGGCGGGCUUUA